UACGUAGGGUGCAAGCGUUAAUCGGAAUUACUGGGCGUAAAGCGUGCGCAGGCGGUUCGUUAAGUCCGAUGUGAAAGCCCCGAGCUCAACUUGGGAACUGCAUUGGAAACUGGCGGGCUGGAGUGUGGCAGAGGGGGUGGAAUUCCGACGUGUAGCAGUGAAAUGCGUAGAGAUCUGGAGGAACACCGGUGGCGAAGGCGGCAUCCUGGACCAACACUGACGCUGAUGAGCGAAAGCCAGGGGAGCAAAGCGGG
rnacentral:rRNA from 1 species